rnacentral:rRNA from 1 species
GACGAACGCUGGCGGCGUGCUUAACACAUGCAAGUCGAACGGAAAGGCCCUGCUUUUGUGGGGUGCUCGAGUGGCGAACGGGUGAGUAACACGUGAGUAACCUGACCUUGACUUUGGGAUAACUUCAGGAAACUGGGGCUAAUACCGGAUAGGAGCUCCUGCUGCAUGGUGGGGGUUGGAAAGUUUCGGCGGUUGGGGAUGGACUCGCGGCUUAUCAGCUUGUUGGUGGGGUAGUGGCUUACCAAGGCUUUGACGGGUAGCCGGCCUGAGAGGGUGACCGGCCACCUUGGGACUGAGAUACGGCCCAGACGCCUACGGGGGGCAGCAGUGGGGAAUAUUGCACAAUGGGCGGAGGCCUGAUGCAGCAACGCCGCGUGCGGGAUGACGGCCUUCGGGUUGUAAACCGCUUUCGCCUGUGACGAAGCGUGAGUGACGGUAAUGGGUAAAGAAGCACCGGCUAACUACGUG